AUUCAUUUAAUUUUUAUUUUUUUAAAAUUUAGCAACAACAAAAGGAUAAGGCAAUCAAUCAAGGCCACCAGUAAGUACCACCAUAGCGGCUGGAAAGCAAGAGGGGUAAAUGAUGAAAGUUGCACCUGCGAUCUCUUCUAAGCCACACGUGCGUUGAGCAUCGUACAAAUACCACCCACCCGCCAAAGUUACUUAAUUAUAAACGCAGAGCGCACAACACACAGGGAAGCAGAGCCAUCGCUCAAGCUCGCACUCACAGUCAAACCCAAACCGAAAUGGCAGAAAAAGAAGCCAUCGAAGCAGCUCAGAGGAAGCUCCGAUCAGAGUUCCUGAAAGUCCUGUGUAGUAGGCGACCCGCUCAAGUUCCGCUAACUUUCAAAAUCGCCGAGCCAGUGGAGAAUCCUUUGCAUCAGAACUCUGUUCCAUCUGUCGAAGAGAAGGAGAUUAUGGAGUCUUGUCCAAAGGCGGACAUUGAUAACCUUGAAGAUUCGCUCGUGGAGGAGAAUCUCUACUUGACUAUAGAGGAAGGAGAGCAAGGACGGUUGCCUCUGUUGAUUUUGAAGUUGAAGGAAAGCGAUAAGAAUACAAAAAGGCCUGCAGUUGUUUUUCUUCACAGUACAAACAAAUAUAAAGAAUUCGUGCGUCCGUUGCUUGAGGCAUAUGCUUCGCGAGGAUACAUAGCAAUUUCCGUUGAUUCUCGUUACCAUGGUGAACGGGCCACCAGCACGACCACCUAUAGCAAUGCUCUUAUUUCUGCAUGGGAAACCGGCAAGACGAUGCCAUUCAUAUAUGACACGGUGUGGGACUUGAUUAAAUUGGCAGAUUAUCUAACAACACAGAGAAAGGAUAUAGACCCUUCUAGGAUAGGAAUCACCGGAAUAUCACUCGGAGGAAUGCAUGCGUGGUUUGCCGCAGCUGUUGAUCCUCGCUAUACUGUGGUUGUUCUUCUGAUUGGGGUUCAGGGGUUUCGAUGGGCCAUAGACAAUGAUAAGUGGCAGGGUCGAGUUGACAGUAUAAAGCGCCUUUUCGAGAAGGCUCGUGUUGACUUGGGUAAAGUUGCUAUUGACAAAGAAAUGGUGGAGAAGGUGUGGGACAGGAUUGCUCCUGGUUUAGCCUCCCAGUUUGAUUCACCCUACUCAAUUCCAAUUAUUGCACCACGUCCUUUGCUUAUUCUUAAUGUGUUUUUGCUUCUUUAGGAUAUAUUAGUAACAUCGUAGACUUCUUCAUCUAGGUGCGGAAGAUCCUCGGUGCCCCCUUGCAGGCUUGGAAAAUCCAGUGUCAAAGGCAAUCCAGGCAUAUGGAAAGCUUCACUGUUUAGAUAAUUUCAAGUUGACUGCAACAUGGAAUUCUCCGAUUUAAAAGAAUACCAUUUCGUUAUGAACCUCUCAUAAUAAAAGUGAAAAGGAAGUCCCGAGUUUUGUGUGUGCUUUUCAAAGUAUGGCAAACACAUGUGAGUGCGUGUAUGCUAUUAUUGGCUUUAUUUGGUCAACCUGACUUCUAAGAUUUGAUGAAGUUAACAUUUCAGGCAAAGCGCUGGUAAGCCUGUUAAGCUAGAUAUGAUUAUGAGAACCCUUGUGUGCCAUAUUAUUUGGGAGGGGAGAUUUGAAGAGGAAGGAGGAGUAGGGAAUUUUUUUUAAGCGCUGGUUGUACUUCUCAUUUUAGUUUUAUCUUUUUUUACUUCAUAGUUUGUCCUGAGCUAUAUUUUAACAUAAUCUUAUAUGAAAAAAUAUAUAUACUUUUU